CCUACGGGAGGCAGCAGUGAGGAAUAUUGGUCAAUGGACGAGAGUCUGAACCAGCCAAGUAGCGUGAAGGAUGACUGCCCUAUGGGUUGUAAACUUCUUUUAUAAAGGAAUAAAACGAGGCACGUGUGCCUUUUUGCAUGUACUUUAUGAAUAAGGAUCGGCUAACUCCGUGCCAGCAGCCGCGGUAAUACGGAGGAUCCGAGCGUUAUCCGGAUUUAUUGGGUUUAAAGGGAGCGUAGAUGGGUUGUUAAGUCAGUUGUGAAAGUUUGCGGCUCAACCGUAAAAUUGCAAUUGAUACUGGUAGUCUUGAGUACAGUUGAGGUAGGCGGAAUUCGUGGUGUAGCGGUGAAAUGCUUAGAUAGCACGAAGAACCCCGAUUGCGAAGGCAGCUUACUAAACUGUGACUGACAUUGAUGCUCGAAAGUGUGGGUAUCAAACAGGAGUAGAUACCCCAGUAGUC
rnacentral:rRNA from 1 species